AUGCUCGCUUCAGCAGCAUAUAUACAAAAUUGGAAUGACACAGUGAAGAUUGGCAUGCUCCCUGUGCAAGGAUGACAGGAAAAUUCAUGAAGUGUUUCAUAUUUUA
ensembl:snRNA U6 U6 spliceosomal RNA